rnacentral:rRNA from 1 species
AGUGAACGCUGGCGGUAGGCCUAACACAUGCAAGUCGAACGGCAGCACAGGAGAGCUUGCUCUCUGGGUGGCGAGUGGCGGACGGGUGAGGAAUACAUCGGAAUCUACUCUGUCGUGGGGGAUAACGUAGGGAAACUUACGCUAAUACCGCAUACGACCUACGGGUGAAAGCAGGGGAUCUUCGGACCUUGCGCGAUUGCAUGAGCCGAUGUCGGAUUAGCUAGUUGGGGGGGCAAAGGCCCACCAAGGCGACGAUCCGUAGCUGGUCUGAGGGGAGGAUACGCCAAACUGGAACUGAGACACGGUCCAGACUCAUACGGGAGGCAGCAGUGGGGAAUAUUGGACAAUGGGCGCAAGCCUGAUCCAGCCAUACCGCGUGGGUGAAGAAGGCCUUCGGGUUGUAAAGCCCUUUUGUUGGGAAAGAAAUCCAGCUGGCUAAUACCCGGUUGGGAUGACGGUACCCAAAGAAUAAGCACCGGCUAACUUCGUGCCAGCAGCCGCCGUAA